AAGCAAGAAACAAUAUAAGGAGCAUAUAAAAGCUGAAACUAGAUAAGAAGAUAAAAAAAUUAACAUUUAUGCCUGAUGACCCAACUUUACUAAAAGCCUGAAAGGGCUAAUGAUAGAUGAAACCAAAGUUUUAGGUUGACUUGGCUGCAACAGCUUCCUUAACCUUAGCAUCAAACUUUGCAACAGCAGAUUCAACGGCUGACAAACCUUCGUCUAAGUCGGCUUCUGGAAUAGUUAAAGGAGGAAGGAAGCGGAAAACUGAAGGAUUAUUGAGUGAACAGUAGACUUGGACGUGAUAUGUAUCGGCAAGGUCAUUGACAAUAGGAGUUGCAUAGUAUUCGCCGAAUUCUUCUUGAACUGACUCAGGAAUGGGAUAAAAUUCAAUACCAACUAUCAUUCCUCGACCACGAACAUCCUUCAUAACAUGAGGGAAUUUUGUUUGAAGUUUAUUAAGACGAUCAAACAUGAUACCACCUAACUUGCGGCAUCUAGAAAGAAGGUCGUUUUGCACGAUAUAAUCGAUGGUAGCAACACCGGCGGCAAGUCCAAGAGUGUUUUCUUGAUAAGUGGCAGUGUGCAGAAAAGCCGUUUCAAGGGAAUUGUAAGCAGCAUUCCAAAGCUCCUCUGUAGCGAUAUACCCUGCAAAUGGAAUGAGUCCGCCUGAAAAUCCUUUGGCGAAAGCGAUACAAUCCGGAAUGAUGUUUUCGUAUUCACAGGCCCAGAAUUUACCGGUACGACCACAACCGGUUUGAAUUUCGUCUAAAACGAGAUAUGUAUCGUACUUAGUGCAAAGUUCACGAGCCUUUGCAAGAUAACCUGGAGGAGGGACAAUAACACCACCUUCGCCUUGAAUAGGCUCAACAAUGAAUGAACGGUACAUACCAGAGGAUAAGGCAACUUGAAGUGCUUCCGCAUCACCGUAAGGGACGUAGUCAACGUCGAAAGGAGCAGGACUUUGAUAUUUUUGCCAUUUUUCUUUGCCGCCUAAAAAGACGGCACCAGUGGUUUUACCAUGGAAAGAGUUCAAAGUAGAAAGAAACUUUUUCUUGUUAGGCUUAUAACGGGUAGCAAGGCGAAUCAAUUUAAUAACUCCCUCAUUAGCUUCAGCACCACCGGUUGCAGUCCAUGUGCGAGUAAGUUUUUGACCAGGAGAUAGCAAAGCCAUAUUGCGACCAAAGGCAGCUGCAAGGUUACGAUAGGAAAUGGCACCCAUCAUAUAUAACUUGGCAUCAAAGCAUUUCUGUAAGCAAUCCCAAACAUACUGAUUGUUGUUACCGACCGUUACGACUCCAACGCCUCCAAUUAAGUCCAGAUGCUCAGUACCCUUUUCAUCAACAAAACGAGAAUUAUCAGCUUUCACAAAAUUGCGAGCGUGGCCAUGGACAGUGCGUAACUUGUUUAAGUGGUCGAGUUGUAACUUGACAGUCGUUUCUGGGUCCAUUUUCAUGGCUUCGUCGAAGCACCACAAACCCUCAGGAUAAUUGCUGGCUGUUCCAUUUUCGGAGGAGGCAUCGGUUUUUGAACCAUUUGUGUUAAGUUCAACCGUCUUUGAGGUAGCAGUAGCAGUGGACGUGGAAUCAAUCAUGAUAAGUGCGUAAAUUUAACGUAAAUAAACGAGCAGGAAAGAUAGUUCUUAACUCAAAGCUUCUUAAAUGUAAUUUCCAAAUGAAUCUUUACAGUAUAUGGUUACCUUGUAUAAUCCACUCCUUAGAUUGAAGAAAAGGUCGAAUGAAUGUUAACCUUUUACAAUUGUUGGCAUUCACAGGCAGCUUUAGCCUAUAUAUAUAGUAAAAAUCAUCAAUGCCAUAUUCCUAUGUACUUGACCGAAAAAUGGCUAUUACCUCUCUCACAUCCCCCGAUCAAAGUCGUACUGCCCAGAUAGCAAUUAGCGUACUACAGCCUUCGAGUUGGCCGACGGGCAGAACCGAGAAGAAGAUAUACUCUAAUAUUUGAUCAUUACAGAAUUGGUCUCAAUUAUAAGAAUUCAAGAAAAAAUAUCAUGCAAUGAAGUGUAUUUAGUUCAAAAAAGCUUUGGCGCUAAUAAUAAUGUUGGAGCAGAAACAAAUGAUUGCGCAGAACUAUUUUACAUAGGAUAAAGUAAGC